rnacentral:misc_RNA from 1 species
AAGUCGUAACAAGGUUUCCGUAGGUGAACCUGCGGAAGGAUCAUUAUCACAUGAAUCCAUGUAUAAACCAUUGUGCAUUGUCACCCCCUCUAGGUUGAAUUCUGAAUGCUGGUAAACGUUUUAACGGUCACUAUUGUAAUUUGAAGACCUAGUUUACUGGCUAUUUGUCUUGAGCUUUCGGGCGAAAUGAUAUAGAUGAAUUCUAACAUACCCCAGAGUGUAAUUCAAAUUACAUAACUUAUUGAUUAACAAUUGAAACCCCUUUUAAACUUUUGAACUAAUGUUUUCAUACUCCAAUAAAACGGAGAUGAAAUUCUUACGAAACAAAGAA